CCUACGGGAGGCAGCAGUGAGGAAUAUUGGUCAAUGGACGCAAGCCUGAACCAGCCACGCCGCGUGCAGGAAGACGGCUCUAUGAGUUGUAAACUGCUUUUGUACGAGGGUAAAUCCCGAUACGUGUAUCGGGUUGAAAGUAUCGUACGAAUAAGGAUCGGCUAACUCCGUGCCAGCAGCCGCGGUAAUACGGAGGAUUCAAGCGUUAUCCGGAUUUAUUGGGUUUAAAGGGUGCGUAGGCGGUUCGAUAAGUUAGAGGUGAACUCCCGGGGCUCAACUCCGGCACUGCCUCUGAUACUGUCGGGCUAGAGUUUAGUUGCGGUAGGCGGAAUGUAUGGUGUAGCGGUGAAAUGCAUAGAGAUCAUACAGAACACCGAUUGCGAAGGCAGCUUACCAAACUACGACUGACGUUGAGGCACGAAAGCGUGGGGAGCAAACAGGAUUAGAUACCCGUGUAGUC
rnacentral:rRNA from 1 species